AUGCCUCUCUGACAGACCUGGAGCAGUUAAUGCCUGCUGCUAAGGUUUCACUUACAGAUACAAGAAAAAGAAGGUUCUCGUGCUUUCUGUCUGGCUGUGGCUGCCAAGACUGAAUGGUGGAAUACAGGA
ensembl:snoRNA